GAGGGAGAGAGCUCAGCCUUGGUGGUCUGGUGGGACCUCCAAGCAGAGCCACUGCAAAGGUAGGAAAGACCCGAGAAUUAGGGCUGGAUGAGGAGAGGAGCGACAAUAAGGAGGACCAGGAGGGGACAGUGUCCAGCCCCACAUCUAAAAUGGAGCGAUGUGAGGUUAUUGGGAAAACACAAAGCGUACCCCAAAAUGAGCCCCUGCCAGGCACUGUGGGUGCUGGGUUUCCUCAGACACUUAGGUCCUGAUUGAGAAGAGCCUGGGAGAAAAGACAAACUCCCCAAGUGCUGUCUCCUGAGGAGAAACUCCCUUGCGUUGCUUUUCUCUCUUAAAGGUGGCAGCAAAGAGUUGCUGGGGCACAGGACAUAGGACUGGUCAAGGUGGCUUUCUCACUUGGGACUGGAGGCUUCACAGGGCUUCGUGGCCACAUUUAGUUCAUCACUGGUGCCAGCCCUGCUCCUUGUGCCCACGUUGCUGGUGAGAACCAUGACAAGGGUUCUACUUUCUCCCUUCUUCCCCCUGUGUAGUCUGAAAUCAGUUGUGCCUUCCUUCAAGUAAGAAAAAACACAUGUGGUUUGGUCUAAGCCCCUAGCCCACUGACUCUAUAUGCUUUGGAAAUGAGUUGGUUUUGCCUGCCCACAUUCAUUUCUCCUUCUUGUGGUAACAGAUCCAGUUUCCCUUUGCAGAAACUACUCUCUUCCUUUGUUACUCCAUCCUCUUUUGGGUCUGACCCCAGAUCCUACCUAGCUCCAGGAGUGAACCAGGCCUGACCCAUCAGAGCCUUCUACUCCCUAAUCACAGUGAUUGGCUCAUAAUGGGCACGUCACAAAAGCAGGCCUAUGAGAAUCAAUCUAAAGACGGUUGCUAGAACUAUUUAUUGGGAAAGAGGCUUUAUCUUCCUGCUUCAGGUGCCAAACUGGUGGGAUGUAGGCUUGGAGCUGCAGGCAGCCAUCUUUAUUAUCAACUCCAGAGCCUCCUCCUGCUACACAGAGGAAAACAAACCUGAGGAAUGGAGACAGAUGAAUUCCUGCCAAUGCUUGAGCACCUGGAUCCAGCCAUGCCUGAAGCCACUGCCUGUAGACUUUCAGUUAUUUGAAUCAAAAAAUAUUCCUUCUUUUGCUGAAGCCAAUUUGAGUUGGGUUUUUGUCACUUGCAACUAAAAGGGUCCUAUCUAAUAUACCCCUGAGCUCAGGCUUAUAGUUGCUUGUGAAACUUUAUGAGAUCCAUGCAUCGAUGUCCCUUUUUUCCCCUCUCUCCUCACAUCUGAGCUUUGGGAGAUCAUCACCCAACUUAGUCCAAGGCCCCUCACACAGUGAGCACAUGAUAUCUGUUUGACGAUGAGGUUGAGAACAAUGGUUUGAAUGGAAAAAUGAAUAUAAUAAAGAAGUUCUACAAAGGCAAAAAAAUUCUGCAUUAUUUGUCACUGACGUGCAAAGACACAUAGUGAGUACCAGUGAGCAUAAAACAAAAAUACCAAACCCACUGCCAUAGAGUUGAUUCCGACUCAUAGUGACCCUAUAGGACAGAGUAGAACUGCCCCAUAGGGUUUCCAAGGAGUGGCUGGUGGAUUCAAAUGGCCAACUUUUUGGUUAGCAGCUGAGCUCUUAACCACCGCACCACCAGAGCUCCAUCAGUGAGCAGAGGCACCUGUAAUUAUUUUAUAGACAAGUAUGUCCUGAGAUAGUGUGUUCUCACUCAUGGUCGAAAGCCCAUCCUUCCCUAAAUAAUGUGUUACUCCCUGGAUAAGAGUCUGGCACAAGACACGUAGAGUUGUCCACACAAGAGUCUAGUUUAUGCUCUGUGAUGUGGCUGCACACUGCAGCCAGAAAGCAAGUUAGAACCAGUGCUUAGUGUCACUCUUCUGAGAGACUCAAGAAGACCACAGACAGAUGGAUAUUGUCCUAACAUAGGCCCCUGACACACACACGGGAAAUCUGCUCUCUGUUAGGGAGGCUUCUGCUUUUGGAUAAUGGGUUUAAGGACGACUGGGGAUUGGUUUUCAUGAAGCUCCUGUGAGGGCGCCCAGGACAUGAAGUCACUUUCUUUGUGAAGGAGGCUUUUUGUUUGUUUGUUUGUUUUGUCCUAACAGCAGGAGUUGAAGUGCUCUUAUGGGCCCAUAAUUCUAGUAACUCUCUGAGGUACACGUACAAACCUAUGAGGCGUGUGAGAAAAAGAAAUAAGUCUCAGAGCUAUAACGCCUAGCAAACCACCAACGUUGCAGAAGGUGGAGGGGGCACAGGAAAUCGUGGAGGGCAGCUCCGUCAGUGCUGAAUGUUUCUAUGUCCAGACUCCUAAUGGACUGUACCCAUCAAGGAGAAAACCUCCACAUGAUCCGCUCCCUCCCCUGGAAGCAUACCACCUGGGGCCGGCCCUGUCAAGGGGCUCCAGUCUUAGGACCGACCCUGUCUCAGCCUCUUCGUCCCGGCCACAGACAGGCACGUGUUCUUCUCUCAAGGGCAAAGGGGAGCCGGCGCCCCAUCCUGAGGGCUCCCGGGUGCAUGGAGAUAUAUGCUGAAGUUUCCAGAAGCCAGCCCACAGGGAGAGGCCAAGAGGGCUACAGAAGAGCAGUGGACAAGGCCUCGGAGGACCUGGGUUCUAGUCCUCCCUUUGCCACUUGCUAGCUGUGGGAAGCCUAGUGAAUCUCCCAAAGACAAAUGCUCUCUGGGGGAAGGCUUUGCCUGCCUGCUUCAGGGCUGUAUCCCCAGAGCCUGGAACACACCACACAGAUGGAAGGUAUCUGUAAAUGUGUGUUCUGUUAAUGUGGCCAUCUCAGUGUCUUCACCCACAGGUGGUGAUUCUCCAUCCAUGCUGUGGGGCAGGAAAGGAGAUCCAAGCCCUCAACACGCUGGGUAUUCACAGAAUGGUUUCACUGCAUCCAGUUCACCCCCCCAGGAGGAGGGAGGCAGUACUGUCCCCAUUUCACAGAUGUAAAACAGACCCAGAAAAGUCUACUGUCCUGCUCACAUUCUCCACGCAGCGCCAGGAAUCAAACCCAGGUCUGAUUCUGAUGCCCUCUGUUUCCACUAUACCAGGCCACCUUUUUCUGCUCCGUGACGGAGGUGUUCCCACCUACACCAGGGCCCUGGUGGAGCCCCCACACCAAGCACAGAAGCUACGGCGUUGGAUGGAGCAAGCCACGACUUCCCCGUCAGGCCCGAGCUGGGGGGCCAUGGGGCUGACCUCCCACCGCCCACCUCGCCCCCAGCUCGCCCACCUUGAGAAGGCGGCUGCCCCACAGGGAGGCCUCCACGCAGGAAAUACUCACGGCUCCCGCAGGCCCAGGCGGCUCGGCGGGGCGCAUCCUCUCCAGGGGUGCGGCUCUGCAGGGGCUCGGGCUCCUCGAGAGCAGCCAGAGCGCGGGCUGGGCUGCCUCCUCUCUAGGGCAUCAGGUUAUUUUAGCACUUGCGGAAGGAACGGACGGAAACUGAAGUCACAUGGAGAGCUAGCUGCUCAGCGACUCAGCACCCUGGGCUCACACAGAGCAGGCACCUUAGAGGGAACUGCAGCCUCGGGUGGCGCGGGGGAGGGGAGAGGGGUUUUUGAGGGAUGGUUAGCUGGGGGACCUCGCCUGUGAGCUCUGCUGACUCAGGAACUCUUCUCCAAGGUUCUAUCCAAAGACCAACUGGCAGAAACGUUGGGAAUGAACUGGACACACGUUUUCCAGUUGUAAAGGGAGAGAGUCUCCAGUCUGGCAGGGUCAGUCACUCAGCUAAUCUUUAUUAAUAAUCUCCUUUGAUGUGCUUCGCACUGUGCUAAGGAAAAAAAAAAAGAAGAAAGAAAUGGAAAUUGCAUUGCAAUGGAUUGUUAGGGGGUGCCAUGUGCUUCUUGUUCAUAGACUGCAUGGAUGGACUUUCUUUUUAUUAUUGUUCAAAACAUGUAUAUGUAUACACACAUACAUAUAUAUAACAUUUGCCAAUUCAAUAUUUUUUACAUGUACAGUUCAGAGAUGCCAAUUACAUUAACCAUGUUGUACAACCAUCACCAGGAUCCAUUGCCAAGUUCUCCAUUGCCAUAAACAGAUGGUGCUUCCUAAACAAUGACUCCCCCUUUCUUCCUGCCCCUGGUAACCACUAACGAACUUUGCUCUCUAUAUACUUGUCUAUUCUAGAUGUUUCCUAAAGUGGGAUGAUGUGUUUGUUCUUUUGUGAUUGACUUACUUCACUCAGCAUAAUGUUUUCAAGGGUCAUCCGUGUUGUGGCAUGUAUCAGCACUUCAUUCUCUUUAAGGCUGAGGAAUAGUCUGUUGUGGGUGUGUACCACAUUUUGUUUGGAAACCCUGGUGGCAUAGUGGUUAAGAGUUCAGCUGCUCAACUCUUCAGGCAGGGAUUGGACUGGACAAUGGGAUAGAAAAAGAUGCUGAUAAAGAAUGAGCUUCUUGGAUCCAGUAGACACUUGAGACUAUAUUGGCAUCCCCUGUCUGGAGGGGAGAUGAGAGGGUAGAGGGGAUUAGAAGCUGGCAGAAUGGACACAGAAAGAGAGAGUGGAGGGAGGGAGCGGGCUGUCUUGUUAGGGGGAGAGCAAUUCAGAGUAUGUAGCAAGGUGUAUAUAAGUUUUUGUGCGAGAGACUGACUUGAUUUGUAAACUUUCACUUAAAGCACAACAAAAAUUAAAGAAAAAAAAUUGUAACUCAAAAAAAAAAAAAAAAAGACCAGACUUACUGGCCUGACAGAGACUGGAGAAACCCUGAGAGUAUGGCCCCCAGACACCCUUCUAACUCAGUAAUGAAGUCACUCCUGAGGUUCACCCUUCAGCUAGGGAUUGGACAGGCCCAUAAAACAGGAGGGGACAAGAAAACUGGUAAUAGGGAACCCAGGUUUGAAAACGGAGAAUGUCAACAUGUCGUGGGGCUGGUAACCAAUGUCAUACAACAAUAUGUGUACUAAUUGUUUAAUGAGAAGCUAGUUUGUUCUGUAAACCUUCAUCUAAAGUACAAUUAAAAAAAAUCAAAAAUAAAAAAAUUAAAAGAGCUCGGCUGCUAACCAUGAAGGUAGGCACUUUGAAUCCACCCGGCGCUCCUUGGAAACCCUAUGGAGCAGUUCUACUCUGUCCUAUAGGGUCGCUAUGAGUCAGAAUCAACUUGAGGGCAACAGGUUUGGUUGGUUUUUUUUUGGUCUGUUGGAGGACAUUUGGGUCGUUUCUACUUUUUGGCUGUUGUGAAUAGUGCUGCAAUGAACAUUGGUGUACAUGUAUGGAUGGAUUUUUUAAUACCUAAUGUGUACAAAGUUCCCUGCUGGCUUCAAAAGGAUGAUAGGAAUUAAUAGCCACGAUGCAAGAGAUUCCAGGCACUGUGCUAAGCCCUUUAUAUGCAUUAUCUCAUUAUUCCUAUUCUCAAGGAGUUUAUCAUGUAGUGUAGUGUGUGCAUGCCCAAUGGGUGCGUAAUCCUAGGAAGUAAUACAAUGAGUAAAUACUAGAAGGGUCAGAGAAAGAGUCACCAGUUCUCCUCCCUCAUUUCCUAUUAGAUCUGGAGAGUUCAAGUGUCCUGCCCUGAGGCAGGAAGGGGUCAUAUCUCUUGUAGUCCAAUUGAUCUGUGAUUUUGUAUAGCCUUAUUGUCCUUGGCAUGUUCAGCCUAAGACAGUAAGAACAAGCCUUUCCUGCUCCAAACAUCCAGAAAAUUGUCUAUGGUCCCUAAAAUAUUCACUCAUAAUGAUAAUACUGAUGACGACAAUGUAAAAGUCACAUUGUCAUCAACAAAAAUUUUGUUUGCAGGCCUUUUUUCUUCUCCCGUAUACACAUUUUCUACUUCCAGGCCUUUCAUGUCUACCAAUAUGUUCAUAGCUCCCAAAUUUUGAUUUUUAGCUCUAACAUUGUCUCCCAAAAGAGAAGACCCAGACUUAUAUUUUUAACUGUCUACUCUGACAACUCCCAGAUGUCCCAGAGUCAUUACAAUAUAACGUUUCCUAAACUGAAUUCUUAUCCUUGCCUCAGCCAGUUUCUCCACUUACGUGACUGGCACCAUUUGUGGCAUGCAUCUACGCUGGUGGCCCAGCCCUCACACUCUCCACCCCUAGCAUCCAGUCAGCUCCUCCUGACUCUAACUCAGAAUGAGGUCUAGAACUCAUGAACCUCAUCACAGACCAUUUCAGAAGCCUCCUUAAAGUGGAUCCCUGGCCUUAAUUUUGUAUCUCUCCAGUGUAGACUCCACACAGUGGUCACAGGCAUCUUUCUAAAGUACAUAUUGAAUCACCUUGCUCUCAGCUUAAAACCUUUUCGUGGCUUACAAUUGCCUCCCUGCCCUGGAUCAGUAGCUUCAGACCGAUUCAGUGGAGUUCAAGGGUUCCUCGGAGAUGCCUCAGAACUGGCUAGAUGGGUUUCCAGGUACCCCAUCUCUUCUUCAACCUGAGCAAUUCCACUUCUAUAUGUUUCAUAUAUUAGGGUUCUCUGUAGAAUUUCUUUUGAGAAAGGCAGCUACUGCCCUUCAAAACAACUUGGAAAACCAAUGGUCUUGGUGGUUGUGUAGAGACAAACCAGUUGGAUGGCCGAUGGCCCCAGCUGUUCACCCUCUAUUCUCACAGCAAGCUGGCUCAGCAGGGAGAAUUUGCAGCUGAAAAUUGAAUAUUCCCCAUGCUAACAAGGACUUCAGCUGCACAGCUCAGUACUCUCCAGCUAGUUUGGGUGGUCUGGGUCCUCUCCUAACUACGUUUAAAAUAUUCCAGGCAGAGAGGGUUAGUGUACGUCCAGCUCUACCUGACCAAGCACAACUCUCCACAGAGGAUGAGAGUCUGGGGGUCUAGAUGCCUGCUUCUUUGAGCCUGUUCCACAUGCUGUGGUGUUUGUACUCAUCCCCUGUGCAACAGUAAUAAAGCCAAGUUCAAAGUCAAGCAGCACACCAGGAUCACUGAGGGGAAAACAAGGAAGUGGGCAGUUACCAGAUGGAGGAGAAAGCAGGUUGACUUUGAGGGGUUUUCAUAACCUGCCCCAGCUUCUCUUCACUGUUACCACCCUCACUUCACCACACUGUCCACAAGCGGGUUUCACCCAGUCACUAUUUUCCCCAACCACAAAAUAAAUGUUCCCCACUCUGUACUCCCUCCAUCAGAGUGUCCCCUUGCUUAGAAUGGCCUCUCCUCUGCCUACCCAAGCCUCCCUAUCCCAAAGGUGAGGCUUAGUCUCCCACUCCUCUGUGAUGCCCUCCCCACCGCCAUCUCCACCUCUUCCUGUGAACACCAUGAGACCAAGUGUCUAAAACAUCCGUUGGCCUCAGGCAAUCUCUUGUUUUGUGAUUUACCUUUUAGGAUUCCUAUCUUUUGUCCUCAGUCACACUACACAUUUCUUAUGGGCAGAAGUCAUGUGUUAUUCUAAAAGCUCUAUUGCCCAAUGCAUAUAAAGAGGCUCAUAAAUAUUUGCUCAAAGAAGAGAGGAGGAAAGACAGAAAGGAGAAAGAAGGCAGUAAACCGCCAUAUCUGUGAUUCCAGGCAUUGCCUCCGAGAGCUUUUUUCUCUCUUAAACUAAGCUUCAUGAUAGUUGGAGACCCUGGUGGUGUAGUGGUUAAGUGCUACAGCUGCUAACCAAAGGGUUAGCAGUUCGAAUCCUCCAGGUGCUCCUCGGAAACUCUAUGGGGGACAGUUCUACUCUGUCCUAUAGGGUUGCUAUGAGUUGGAAUUGACUUGACAGCAACAGGUUUGGUUUUUUUGGUUUUCAUGAUAGUUUGUCAGCGUGGGGCUUCUCAGUCUUCCAAAGAGAUCAAAGUGAACUUUGGCUUCUGUCCUUUCUUCCCAUUGGUUUUCCAGAAGAUAACCAGACACUAUUCGGGACUAAGGAGGAUCCUCUGAGGGGAGACACAUCCUAGUAGAGGGCAAAGUAUGAAAGAGGCCCCGGGUGAGAAGCAAAAAUCAGCUUCCCUCCCCUCGAUGGGUCUGUGAGGAGAAAAGAACAAUCCAUUGCACCCAGCAGUGAGCAGUAGGGUGUACACCUGGGACCGGCAGCUCACCCCAAGCCCAAGAUCCUGGUCCUCUGGCUCUUGCUCUCCUCUCUCGUUUUUUACACUCUGCCUUGGCCUCUCAGCUCCUGGCCAUGGAGCGGGCAACCCUUCUACCCUGACCCUUCACCUUGAUGGCUGGGUCUGGCCAGGCACUGAGCUAGUACCUCCCCCACUUCUCCUGGCCUCAGCACAUGACCGGGGAGGGGAUUUCCUUUGGGGCUUUAACUGGGAAUUGUUUUCUUGCCCUACAUCAGCUGGCUGCUGGGGGUGAGUCGUCAGUGGUUUCAUUUCCCUCAUUUGGAAUAGAGUUUUUAAGAACCAAAAAUCAAAAACGGAAAGAGGAGAGGCCACCGCCUACAUUGGUACCACCCAACCCCUCAUGAUGCCAGUUCAGGAAAGCUCAGGGGUCAAUGUGAAGGCUGAAGGCUUCUUGGCAUGCUUACUCCCCUUCUCUAACCUUCUGGGUGAGGGUGGGGGGUGCUCUCAAAUCCAGAGGUCAGUCCCCCUUGCUCCCUGCUGCACAGGCAAGUGGGGACUUAAGCAGUUCACAAAGAUGCUUAUAGAUGCAUCAGUACCAGGGCUUGGCUGACAGCGAGACAGUGAGGGGAAGGGGCAUGUCAUGGAUUGUAUUAUGUCCCCAAAGACAUGUGUCAACUUGGUUACACCAUGAUUCCCGGUAUUGUGUGGUUGUCCUCCAUUUUGUGAUUAUAAUUUUAUAUUAAAUAGGAUUACAGUGGAAUUGUAACAUCCUUAGGAAGGUCACACCCUGAUCCAAUGUAAAGGGAGUUUCCUUGGAGUGUGGCCUGCAUCACCAUUUAUCUUACAAGAGAUAAAAGGAAAGGGAAUCAAGCAGAGAGUGGGGGACCUCACACCACCAAGAAAGAAGCACCGGGAACAGAGUGCAUCCUUUGGACCCAGGGUUCCUGUGUGGAGAAGCUCCUAGUCCAAGGGAAGAUUGGCGAGAAGGACUUUCCUCCAGAGCUGACACAGAGAGAAAGCCUUCUCCUGGAGCUGACUCCCUGAAUUUGGACUUCUAGCCUACUAGACUGUGAGAAAAAAAUUUCUCUUUGUUAUAGCCAUCCACUUGAGGUAUUUCUGUUAUAGCAGCGUUAGAUGACUAAGACAGGGCACCACAACUAACCAUGGUCCAGUUCAGGGCAUAACAGAUGCAGACCAUGAAGAAACAGGGAUGAGGUGCUGAGAGUCAUGGGAGGGAGAACACAACUACUAGGACACAUCAAAGAAGACUUUCCAGAAGAGAUGGUAUCUGAACUGGUCCUCACAAGAUGGAACUGGGGGUAGGGUCAGGAUUGAAGGAGCAAUAGGAAUAUAGAUGAAUCAGGAUAAGGCCAUGUCAAGGGAGAGAGACUGGGAGAGAAGACGGCAUUCCUCGAUGCCUCUACAGGACUUUGUUUAUGGCUCCAUCUCAGUGCUUCCCAGGGAGCACCAUAGUUGAUCUGUUUAUGGUUCUGUGUUUCCUCUGGGGCAGUGAGUCCUGGUGGUAAGCACAAUGGCUUGUUCACAUUCAAAUGUCUCCCCAGCAGAGCAAUACCUAGUUUAACACCCAGUAGGUGCUCAGCAAAGGUUUCUUAAGUGAAUGAAGACUAGAGUAUCAUUUACUGUAGAGCAGGUGAAGAGGAUAAAAACUCUAGAAAAAUCGUUUGUCACUGAGAAGGCCUUCAUAAUUAAAAAAAAACAGUUGUCAUCAAGUCAGCUCCAACUCAUGGCAACCACAUGUGUGUCAGAGUAGAACUGUGCUCCACAGGGUUUUCAAUGGCUGAUAUUUUGGAAGUAGGUCACUACGCCUUUCUUCUGAAAUAUCUCUGGGUGUACUCAAACCUCAUACCUUUUGAUUAGCAGCCAAGUGUGUUAACCAUUUGCACCGCUAAUGUAAAUCUCGGAGCCCUUAUCACAAACUCAAGGCCCUGCAUUAUCUGGUCCCCUCUCUGCUCCCUCUGAUUUCAUAUCCUUCUACUUUCCUCCUCACUCACUCCACUCAAACCAUAGUCCUCCUCGCAGUUCCUCAUUCAAGUCAAGCAGGCUUCUGUCCCAGGGCCUUUGCCAUUUGCUCUUUCCUAGGCCCGGAGCUGCCCCCCGCCACCACCCCCACCAAGUUAGCCACACAAGCCAGCUCGCUCCUUGACUUUCUUCAGGUCUCUGCUUUAGUGUCACCUCCUCAAAAAGGCCUUCCUGGCCACACCAUCUAAAAUAACCUCCCCCCAAUCUCCAUCACUUUCUUUUCCCUUAUUUUGCUUUUUGUUCAUAAUACUUUUUCUUCAUGGCAUAGCUUGGCAUUUUAUUGUAUAUUUACUUUUUUGCCUCCCCAACUAGAUUGUAAAGAGCCCUGGUGGUGCAAAGUUUAAGUGCUUGGCUGCUAACCAAAAGGUUGGCGGUUCAGACCCAUCCAACUGCUCCACAAGAGUAAGACCUGGCCAUCUGCUCUCAUAAAGACUACAACCUAGAAAAUCCUAUUGGGCAGGUCUACUCUGUCACAUGGGGUCACUAUGAGACAAUUACAACAAUUAGAUUGUAAGCUCCUGAGGUCAAGAACUUUGUUUAUUCACUGCCCUAUCCCUGUGCCUAGGACAGAGCCUGGCACAUACUAAGCGCUCAUAAACUUAUGUGAACUAUACAAAUGAAUCAUCUGGGGGAGUGGGGAGCCUUGUCAUGUGUUAGUUAGUUCAUUGGUUAAUUAGUACCAAAAUAGAAAUAGGAAAUGACAGCUACUCUUUGAAAAACAAGGUGAUGAAAGGAAGGGUCAGUAUGUAAAUAUCUUUUGUAAAAUAUGAAGUACCAUAAAAUAUAUCUGUUCUCAUUGGCAGGCCAGGUCAGUGAGUGAUGAGUAGUUAGAAAAAGGAGUUAGUGUUACCAAAGUGGGAAGCCUUUUCAUAUGGCAAUGAAAUCAAGGCAAUGUGGUAGGGAGAUGAAAAGAUGGACCUGAAAGGACUGUUGUUGACCACCAGGAAGGACUCACUUGUAAAACAGCAGGCAAUACUCAGUCUGCACUAUUUUAUAGCAAUAGUGGGCAGCCUUGGCUGGUAGAGGAGAAUGCAGACCUUGAUAUGGGGCCUGAAAUCAUAGCUACCUUCUGCCUGGGUACAUACAUUAUCUCUCAUCUCCACAGCUCUGCUAGGUGAGCAUUAAUAGCCCUGAUUUAUAGAAGAGAAAAGCAGGGCUCAUAUUGAUCAAGUGAUUUGCCAAGGCCACACAAGUAGAGAGUGUCAGUCUCUAGUUUUUAGUAACAUUUACUGUUUUGGUUUUGGUUUUUAAAUUUUAUGAUUCUAAAAAUGCAUGGCCAUUUAAAAAAAUUUGGAAAAUAAAUGCUAAGAAGAAGAAAAUGAAGUCAUUCACAGUCCCAUUAUCCGGAGACAACCUGUUAACAUUAUGGUGUAUUGCCUUCCAAAUUUUUUCUAUGAAUAUGUGAUUUUCUUCUUACAAAGUUGAGAUCAGCCCACAAGAAGAUAAAACACUUAGGAACAGAUCUAACUAGGAUGUAAAAGACCUAUAUAAAGAAAACUACAAAACCCUACUGUAAGAAACCAAAAGAGACAUAAGUAAGCAGAAAACCAUACCAUGUUCAUGGAUAGGAAGACUCAACAUUGUAAAAAUAUCAAUAUUACCCAAACUGAUCUACAGAUGCAGCAAAAUCCUGAUCCAAAUUUCAACAGCAUUCUUUAAUGAAAUGGAGAAACAAAUCACCAACUUUAUAUGGAAAGGGAAAAGGCCCUGGAUAAAUAAAGCAUUAUUGAAGAAGAAGAACAAGGUGGGAGGCCUCACACUACCUGAUCUUAGAACUUAUUAUACAGGCAUGGUAGUCAAAACAGACUGGUACUGGUACAAAAACAGACACAUAGACCAAUGGAACAGAAUUGAGAGCCCAGGCAUAAAUCCAUCAAUCUAUGAGCAGCUGAUAUUUGACAAAGGGCCAAACUCCGUUAAAUGGGGAAAAGACAAUUUCUUUAAGAUAUGAUGCUGGCAUAACUGGAUGUCCACCUGUAAAAAAAUGAAACUAGAUCCAUACCUCACAUCACACACAAAAACUAACUCAAAGGCCUAAAUAUAAAACCUAAAAUGACAGAGAUCAUGGAAAAAAAAAAAAAAGAGAGACAAUGCUAAGAGUCCUAGUACAUGGCAUAAAUAGUAUACAAAUCGUAAGUAACAUUGCACAAACACUAGAAGAGAAACUAGAUAACUGGGAGCUCCUAAAAAUUAAACACUUCUACUCAUCAAAGGCUUCACCAAAAUAAUAAAAAAAAGAAUAAAAAGAGAAUCUACAGUCUGGGAAAAAAAAUUGGGCUAUGACAUAUUCGGCAAGGGUCUAAUCUCUAAAAUCUAUAAAAUACUUCACCUCAACAACAAAAAGACAAAUAGUUCAAUUAAAAUCUGGGCAAAGGAUAUGAACAGCCAUGUCACCAAAGAAGACAUUCAGCAUGGCUAACACACAUAAGGAAACAUUCGCAAUCAUUAGCCAUUAGAGAAAUGUAAAUCAAAACUACAAUGAGAUACCACUCCACCGACAAUACUGGCCUUAAUUAAAAAAAAAAAAACUCAGAAAAUAUCAAAUAUUGGAGAGGUUUCAGGGAGAUUGGAGCUCUUACGCACUGCUGGUGGGAACACAAAAUGGUACAACCAUUUUGGAAAAUGGUGUGGUGUUUCCUUAAAAAGGUAGAAAUAGAAAUGUCAUAUGAUCCAUAGGUCUUACUCCCAGGAAUAUAUCCUAGAGAUAUAAGAGUUGUUACACAAAUAGACAUAUGCAUACCCAUGUUCGUUACAGCACUAUUCACAAUGCAAAAAAUGGAAACAACCUAAGUGCCCAUGAACAGAUGAAUGGAUAAACAAAUUAUGGUACAUACAUACAAUGGAAUACUAAGCAAUGAUAAAGAACAAUGAUGAAUACAUAAAACAUCUCACAGCAUGAAUGAAUUUGGAGGGCAUUAUACUAAGUGAAAUAAGUCAAAAAAGGACAAAUAUUGUACGACAUCACUAUUAUAAGAAUUCAAGAAAAGGUUUACACACAGAAAAAAACAUUCUUUGAUGGUUCCGAGGGUGGGAAAGGCGGGAGAGGAGAAAUCGCUAACUAGAUAGUAGACAAGCAUAAUUUUGGUGACGGGAAACACAACACACAAUAUAUGGGAAGUCAGCACGAUUUGACCAAGGCAAAGGCGAAGUUUCCUAGACACAUCCAAACACCUUGAGAGACCAAGUUUUGGGGGCUGAGGGUUGGGGGCCAUAGUCUCAGGGGACAUCUAGGUCAAUUGGCAUAACACAGUUCAUAAAGGUAAUGCUCUACAUCCUACUUUGGUGGGUAGCAUCUGGGGUCGUAGAAGCUUGCGAACAGCCAUUUAAAAUACAUCUACUGAUCCCAUCCUGUUCAAAGCAAAGAAGAAUGAAGAAAACCAAAGACACGAGGAAAAUAUUAACCCAAAGGACUAAAGGACCACAUGAACCAGAGCCUCUACCAGCCUGAGCUCAGAAGAACUAGAUGGUGCCUGACUACCACCACAAACUGCUCUAACAGGGAUUCAUAAUAGAGGGUUCUAGACAGGGUGGAAGAAAAAUGUAGAACAAAAUAAAAAUUCACAAAAAACAAACCAGAAUUACCGGUCUUACAGAGACUGGAGGGAUAUCCAAGAUUAUGGCCCCCACAACACUCGGCUAACUCAGAACUAAAAUGACUCCCGAAGCACAAUUGUCAGACAAAGAUAAGACAGGCCUAUAAAACAAACAGUAACACAUCUAAGGAACGUGCUUCCUAGAUCAAUCAAACAUAUGAGAUCAAAUGGACAACACCCACCUCAAAGCAAGAUGAGAAGGCAGGAAGAGACAGGAAAACUGGACAAAUGGGCAUGGGGAAGCUGAGGUGGAAAGGAAGAGAGCGCUGUCACAUUGUGGGGAUUGCAACCAAUGUCACAAAACAAUAAUGCGUACAAAUUCUUGAAUGAGAAACUAACUAGAGCUAUAAACUUUCACCUAAAGCACAAUUUUUAAAAAAAGUUGAGAUUGCAUUUUACAUGCUCUUUAGUAAAUUUAAGUACACAAUACAUGUCAUGAAUUGAAUUGUGUCCCCCACAAAGAUUUGUUGAAGCCCAAGGAUUGUACCUGUGAAUGUGACCUUGUUUGGCAUAAUAGGGUCUUUCUGGCAAAUGUUACCUGUUAACAAGGUUGUAUGGGGUAGGGUGGGCCCUAAUUCUUUCUGAGUGAUAUGUCUUAUAAAAUUGGGGACGACAGGCUCUAGGGUCACCUACGGUGGAUGAACAGCAUGUGAGGAUCCUUCUACAAGCCAAAGAAAGCCAAAAAACACCUGGGGCUACCGGAAGCAGAAAGAGACAAGAAGGGUUCUUCCGCCUGGAGCUGACAGAUGCCCUGAAUUUGGACUUCUACCCUCCAGAAAUGUGAGACAAUAAAUUUCUAUUCUUUAAAGCCACCCACUUUGUGGUAUUUGGUUAGGUCAGUCCUAGGAAACCGGGAUAAUAUAUGACAAAAUAUUGGGUUUGUUUCCCCAUGUCCUGAAAAUUUCACAAACAUGGUAUUGAUUAAUUGCGUAGUAUCCUGUCACAUGGAUGCCUGUAAUUUAUUAUCCAGCCCUCUUUGGUGGAGCACUGUGGUCCAGGUCCAAAACUUCUUACCUUAAAACUGAGGGACCGAAAGUGUUUCAAAAACUGCAAUUUUUCUUGAUUUAUAAAGGUAACACUAUGCUAUAUAUUACAUAAUUCUUCAACCAGGGUCUGGAAUCAGGUCCUGAAAUCAAUACCUUAAAAUCUUGGUAAACAAAACAGGAAUAUUCACAUUAAGUGGGCAAACAGUAAAGUGGACAAAAUAGCUUUUUGUCAAUUCAGGUUCAGUUUUGCAACCAAAUGAGUUUGAUCCAAACUCACCAAAAAACCUUUGGUUUCCAGAGUUUUUUGGAUUUCAGAGGUAGGGACUCAUGUCGGAGCCCUGGCGGUGUAGUAGUUAAGAGCUAUGGCUGCUAACUAAAAGGUCAGCAAUUCGAAUCCACCAGCUGCUCCUUGGAAACCCUAUGAGGCAGUUCUACUCUGUCCUAUAGGGCCACUAUGAGUCAAAAUUCACAUGACGGCAAUGGGUUUGGUUUGGUUUUUUUUGGACUCAUGUCAGGAUUUGAAGAUUGGCUUGUUCCAGAGCCUGAUGGUGUUUCCCAACAGCUACAGCAUUCUAGAAUGCCAGCAGAGCGAAAGCAGUAAUGGUGAGGCAAGGUUCUGGAUGCCCAGGGAGGCAAGGGAAGAAAAAAAAGUGAUGGGAUUUAUAGACCAGGGAAGGCGCAGGCCUGGCGUGUCAGCUAUGGGACAAGGAGCAGAUUCCAUAGAAUGAAGGGACACAUGGAAAAGGAAGAAACGUUGGCGAUUGAGACUAGGGGGGCAGUGCCUGACCUGGACCUUGGCAGAAGGGUAAGAUACAAACUGCCCCGAAACAGAGGCCGAAAACCUCCAAAUUCAUUUUAUAUCAGCCUACCCCGAGAGAGACUCUACAUGUCAAGGAUAAGGCCAGCAAAGGGGACCCUGCUGAGCCUCCUGUGACCCAAGGAGAGAGGAAGGAAGGGAGGAUGACUUAGAGGAGCUUGCCGUGGAAAGAGAAGGAGCACGCCCUUGUUGAUUUUGUGGGAGGCCUAGGGCAAAGGGCCCUGAUCUCCUUCCUGUGUCAAGUGUGGUUUGCUGUCAAGUGGUAGCAGGUUGAGCCACAGCCAAGGAACUGGCGGGGGAGGGGCCCCCAGAGAGCAGAGCGAGAGGCCCUACUGUAGGUGCCCUGAAUCUGGAAGGUGAUUUGCUACUGCUUCUGUUAGCAGGGGAGCAGAAUGAAUGCAAAUCAGAGGAAGUUUAGCCCGUCAGAACCAAUUAUUAUCGUUUGCCCAGCACUGAACUGAAAGGCUUUACUACUCUAAAGGAGACUCUUCCUCUUUGUUUUCACCACGGUAACCAGGAUUAGCCACACCAACUGUGCUUCCCACACACCUUGCAGAUUCUCUCCAACAGGACCUAAUGCUCCAAUGCCUCUCACUCCAGCCUUGGAUCCUCCCUCUCUCUGCCAUGUCAUCACCAUUGCCCUCUUGGAGAAUUCACCACAGGCUCAUCUCCCCCAGACCUUCCUCGGUUAAUCUGAUUCUUCCAGAAAUCAGACUCCUAGCAAUUACAACUUCCCAAAACACUGCAGAAAGCUGGCUCAAAGCCCAGGCACCUCAUUCAUGGGAGAAACGGAGUCACCCUCAGCCUCUGCCUCGAGUAAUAUGAAAAAUUUAGAGUUGUGAACAAGUGGUAACUUUGGUGAAGGGUAAGACAGUACACAAUACUGGGGAAGCCAGCACAACCUGUACAAGGUAAGGUCAUGGGAGCUCCAUAGACACAUCCAAACUCCCUGAGGGAUGGAAUUGCUGGGCUGAGGGCUGUGGGGACCAUGGUCUUGGGGAACAUCUAGCUCAGUUGGCAAACAUAGUUUAUAAAGAAAAUGUUCUAUAUUCUAUUUUGGUGAGUAGCAUCUGGGAUCUUAAAAGCCCGUGAGUGGAUAUCUAGGAUACUCUACUGGUCUCACCCCUUCGGGAGCAAGGAAAAAUGAAGAAAACUAAAGAUACAAGGGAAAGAUUAGCCCAAAGGACUAAUGGACCACAACUACCACAGCCUGCACCAGACUGAGUCGAACACAACAAGAUGGUGCCCAGCUACCACCACUGACUGCUCUGACAGGGCUCACAAUAGAGGGUCCCGGACAGAGCUGGAGAAAAAUGUAGAACCAAAUUUCUAACUCAAAAAGAAAGACCAGACUUGCUGCCUAACAAAGAAUGGAGAAACCCUGACAGUAUGGUCCCUAGACACCCUUUCAGCUCAGUAAUGAAGUCACUCCUGAGGUUCACCCUUCAGCCAAAGAUCGGACGGGCCCAUAAAACAAAAUGAGACUAAAGGGGCACACCAGCCCAGGGAUAAGGACUAGAAAGCAGGAGGGGACAGGAAAGCUGGUAAUAAGGAACCCAAGGUUGAAAAGGGAGAAUGUUGGCAUAGCGUGAGGUUGUUAACUAAUGUCAUAUAAUGAUACGUGUACUGUUUAAUGAGAAACUAGUUUGUUCUGUAAACCUUCAUUUAAAGUACAAAAAAAAAAUUUUUUUUUAAUUUAGAGUUGUGAAAAUAAGAAUGAUAGCAGAGAGAAUAAGAAAAAAGGUAUACGUAAACAUACAAGGACACGUUCCUUUUUUUUUUUAAUUGUAUUGUGUGCCUCAGGUGAAAAUUUACAGCACAAAUUGGUUUCCCAUUCAAAAAUUUAUAUACAAAUUGUUUCGUGACAUUGGUUGCAAUCUGCACAGUAUGUCAGCACUCUCCCCCUUUCCACCCGGAUUCCCCACGUCCCUUCAUCCAGGAUUCACUUCCCUUCCUGCCUUCUUGGUUUGCUUUUGGGCCGUAUUGCCCAUUUGGUCUCAUUUACAUGACUGCGCUAAGAAGCACGUUCCUCAUGGGUGUUACGUUUAUUUUUUAUAGGCCUGUCUAAUCUUUGACUGAAGGGUGAACUUCGGGAGUGGUUUCAGUUCUGAGUUAGCAGGUGUCCGGUGGCCAUAGCCUCAUGGAAGGUUGUGUUCUUAUAACUGCUUUUUAGUUCUUUCUGAUAGCAUCAUGUUGCCUUUUGAUGUGGGGCAGGCUGCUGUGCACAGGCCUGUGAUCCGUGAGAGUCCCUCUCUAUCACGGUGAACUUCAGUCAUUGAUACUCAUAAGAAGGCUCUAAGUCAUCAAGAACAGAUUAAUUUACAUAAAGAAUUCUUACGACUCAAUAAUAAAAAGACAAAUAACCCAAUAAAAAAAAUGCAAAUACAAGUUUCUUCAAAGAAGAUACAGGAAUGGCCAAUAAGCACAUAAAAAGAUGUUCAACAUCAUUACCCAUCAGGGAAAUGCAAAUCAAAACCACAAUGACAUGCCACUUCACGCCCACUAGAUUGACUACAACCAAAAAGACAGGUAGCGAGUGCUUGGGAGGAUGUGUGGAAAUUGGAACCCUCAUACAUUGCUGGUUGGAAUGUAAGAUGGUACAGCCUCUUUGGAAAACAGUCUGGCAGUUCCUCAAAAAGGGUUAACAUAGAUUUACCAUACAGCCCAGAAAUUCCACUCCUAGGCAUAUACUCAAGAGAAACAAAAACACGAAAACUUGUAAGAGUUCUGACUAUUUACAAUAGUCAGAACGUGGAAACAACCUCAGUGUCCAUCAGCUAAUUAAUAAAAUGAAAAAAAAAGUCUUUUUUUUUUUUAGGUAUGUCUACAAAUGGACUAUUAUUUGGCAAUAAGGAAUGGAAUAUUGAUACAUGCUAUGACAUGAAUGAAACACAAACAUACUAUGCUAAGUGAAAGAAACCAGACACAGAAGGUCACAUGUUGUAAAAUUUCAUUUAUAUUAAAUGUCUGGAAAAGACAAAUCUAUAAAUACAAGAAGAUUGGUAGUUUCCUAAGUCUGGGGGGUUGGUCAGGGGAAAGGAGGAAGUAACUGCUAAUGGGUACGGAGUUUCCUUUUGGAGUGAUGAAAAUGUUCUGAAAUUAGGUGGUGGUGAUAGUUGCAUAACUCUGUGAAUAUACCCAAAACCACUGGAUUGCACAUUUGAAAUGGGUAAUUUUAUGGUAUAUGAAUUAUGCCUCAAUAACCUGUCAUAUUAAGUAAAGAAAUAAUAAUAAAACCAGAAAAAAAAAAGAACAGAUUAACUGAGACUCAGGUUCUUCUCCCUAAGAAAAAGAAGUUUAUGAUUUGUUUAAAAAAUUUUUUUAAAUCAGAAUGAAAA